rnacentral:rRNA from 1 species
AAAUGAUUGUCAUCAGUGUCCAGUCUUGUGACGGCGUACCUUUUGUAUAAUGGGUCAUCGACUUGGUCUAUCCAGCAAGCUUAAGCCGUUAGGUGUAGGCGCAGCGAAAGCGAGUCUUAAUAGGGCGUCGAGUUGGAUGGAUCAGACCCGAAACCGAGUGAUCUAGGCAUGACCAGGCUGAAGGUAGGGUAACACCUACUGGAGGGCCGAACCCACACCUGUUGAAAAAGGUCGGGAUGAGUUG